UGCGUAGGCGGGCUAAUAAGUCAGUGGUGAAAUCUCUCGGCUCAACCGGGAAACUGCCAUUGAUACUGUUAGUCUUGAGUUCGGUUGAGGUAGGCGGAAUGUGUAAUGUAGCGGUGAAAUGCUUAGAUAUUACACAGAACACCAAUUGCGUAGGCAGCUUACUAGAUCGACACUGACGCUGAGGCACGAAAGCGUGGGGAGCAAACAGGAUUAGAUACCCUGGUAGUCC
rnacentral:rRNA from 1 species